rnacentral:rRNA from 1 species
GGUUAAGCGACUAAGCGUACACGGUGGAUGCCCUGGCAGUCAGAGGCGAUGAAGGACGUGCUAAUCUGCGAAAAGCGUCGGUAAGGUGAUAUGAACCGUUAUAACCGGCGAUGUCCGAAUGGGGAAACCCAGUGUGUUUCGACACACUAUCAUUAACUGAAUCCAUAGGUUAAUGAGGCGAACCGGGGGAACUGAAACAUCUAAGUACCCCGAGGAAAAGAAAUCAACCGAGAUUCCCCCAGUAGCGGCGAGCGAACGGGGAGGAGCCCAGAGCCUGAAUCAGUGUGUGUGUUAGUGGAAGCGUCUGGAAAGGCGUGCGAUACAGGGUGACAGCCCCGUACACAAAAAUGCACAUGCUGUGAGCUCGAUGAGUAGGGCGGGACACGUGGUAUCCUGUCUGAAUAUGGGGGGACCAUCCUCCAAGGCUAAAUACUCCUGACUGACCGAUAGUGAACCAGUACCGUGAGGGAAAGGCGAAAAGAACCCCGGCGAGGGGAGUGAAAAAGAACCUGAAACCGUGUACGUACAAGCAGUGGGAGCC